CGGUCUGCAGUUCACCGAGGCGCUGCCGCCCCGCGAGGGGAGCUAAACCUGCAU
rfam:Devosia sp. 66-22 SCNpilot_expt_1000_bf_scaffold_447, whole genome shotgun sequence.